UACGGGAGGCAGCAGUGGGGAAUAUUGCACAAUGGGCGAAAGCCUGAUGCAGCUAUGCCGCGUGUAUGAAGAAGGCCUUAGGGUUGUAAAGUACUUUCAUCGGGGAGGAAAAACAAAACUAAUAAUUUUAUUUCUUGACGUUACCCGAAAAAGAAGCACCGGCUAACUCCGUGCCAGCAGCCGCGGUAAUACGGAGGGUGCUAGCGUUAAUCAGAAUUACUGGGCGUAAAGAGCACGUAGGUGGUUUUUUUAAAGUCAGAUGUGAAAUCCCCUGGGCUUAACCUGGAACUGCAUUUUGAAACUGAAAUACUAGAGUAUCGUAGAGGGAGGUAGAAUUCUAGGUGUAGCGGUGAAAUGCGUAGAUAUCUGGAGGAAUACCUGUGGCGAAAGCGGCCUCCUAAACGAAUACUGACACUGAGGUGCGAAAGCGUGGGGAGCAAACAGGGAUUAGACC
rnacentral:rRNA from 1 species